ACGUUCACUUCAAAUGAUGGGUUCGUACUUCGCAAGCGCUGACCGAGUUAAUAGGCGCCUACAAACAUUUUAUAAUAACACGUUGCUAUGCAUGUUGCACCGCCACCAACUUGUUACAAAGUUUGCGAAAAUACAGGCGCCAAAACCUCGUUUACCGAGCCCAUUGCAUCUAGUCACUCCCAUUUUAAUAAUAGAACCUUGCGGCGUUCAGCUAUAGACUUCUGGAAAUGUUCAACUGAAAUUCUCGCGUCAGCACGGUGGUUAGCGAAUGUGUUAACAAUAAUAGACGUAAAACAAUUUCUUACUUAUAAAUAAUAUGAUUUUUACAUGUUAAUCAGACAACAUUCUUAUUUUACGAUAUAAUUAAUGGAAAUAUAAAAUAAUAUUUCUUCUAAUUUAAUAUUUCCAUGUCCGAAAGCGUAUAUCUGAAUAAUUACAAAUCACAAAUAAGAGCAAGAUUAAAGAAAAAGAAUUUCAGUUUCAGAAUUUGUAGUUUCACCUAGAUGAGAAAUAUUUUAUAGAUCGAUCUAUUUAUUUCACAAUCUAAAAACUGUCCAGGCGAUAAAAAACAUUUGUGGACGGACUUAAACGUAUAAAUAUCUUUCACCGUUUUUAAAAUAAAUGUGAUUGCAUGUUGCACGAUGCAGCGACAUGUACAAAACGCUUUGCUAUUCUUGACUGCCUAAACGGGCUUAAAACUCAAGCGCAGGUCAUCUGCAUUAUUAAGCAGACGAAAGUGCACCUUCUCAUGUAACAUACGAUAAAUUUCACCAUGCUUCCCAGUUUCGCAAGUAUCUUAUUCCUUCAACAACGACAUAUUGGAGGAAAAUAUUCUUUUAAAUACAUAAAAACUUAUUUUAGAAUUACGCGAAAAAGUUAUGAUUUCUAAGCGUCUAUAUCAUUAUACUUAUCCAUUGCGCGUGCAUAAGUUUGGCAAAUAAAGAGCUACUGUUAUAUCAUGAUAAGAACAAUAAACCUUAGUCUUUCGAAUGGUACGUACGUCGUAUUCAUUCUAAUCGCUCUCAAAUUCUUUAUUUAGAAGUUAAAAUUUAUUUAGAAAUAAAGAAGCUAUAUAUCCACUUGUAAAUCUACGUAAAUGAAUAAAACGAUUGAACGAUUAUUUCU